AGUUUGAUUAUGGCUCAGAUUGAACGCUGGCGGGAUGCUUUACACAUGCAAGUCGAACGGCAGCACGGACUUCGGUCUGGUGGCGAGUGGCGAACGGGUGAGUAAUGUAUCGGAACGUGCCUAGUAGCGGUGAUAACUACGCGAAAGCGUAGCUAAUACCGCAUACGCCCUUCGGGAGAAAGCGGGGACCUUCGGGCCCCGCACUAUUAGAGCGGCCGAUAUCGGAUUAGCUAGUUGGUGGGGUAACGGCUCGUUACAGCGACGAUCCGUAGCUGGUUUGAGAGGACGACCAGCCACACUGGGACUGAGACACGGCCCAGACUCCCUACGGGAGGCAGCAGUGGGGAAUUUUGGACAAUGGGGAAACCCUGAUCCAGCCAUCCCGCGUGUGCGAUGAAGGCCUUCGGUUGUAAAGCACUUUUAUAGGAAAGAAACGGCACGGGAUAAUACCCGUGCAACUGACGGUACCUGCAGAAUAAGCACCGGCUAACUACGUGCCAGCAGGCCGCGGUAAUACGUAGGGUGCAAGCGUUAAUCGGAAUUACUGGGCGCAAAGCGUGCGCAGGCGGUUCGGAAAGAAAGAUGUGAAAUCCCCCAGAGCUUAACUUUGAACUGCAUUUUUAACUACCGAGCUAGAGUGUGUCAGAGGGAGGUGGAAUUCCGCGUGUAGCAGUGAAAUGCGUAGAUAUGCGGAGGAACACCGAUGGCGAAGGCAGCCUCCGGGAUAACACUGACGCUCAUGCACGAAAGCGUAGGAGCAAACAGGAUUAGAUACCCUUAUAGUCCACGCCCUAAAACGAUGUCAAAUUAGCUGUUGGGGCUCUCGGGCCUUGCAGCGCAGCCAACGCGUGAAGCUGACCGCCUGGGGAGUACGGUCGCAAGAUUAAAACCUCAGCGAAAUUGACGGGGACCCGCACAAGCGGUGGAUGAUGUGGAUUACCCGAUGAACGCGAAAACCUUACCUACCCUUGACAUGUCUGGAAUCCCGAAGAGAUUUGGGAGUGCUCGCAAGAGAACCGAACACAGGUGCUGCAUGGCUGUCGUCAGCUCGUGUCGUGAGAUGUUGGGUUAAGUCCUGCAACGAGCGCAACCCUUGUCAUUAGUUGCUACGAAAGGCACUCUAAUGAGACUGCUGGUGACAAACCGGAGGAAGGUGGGGGAUGACGUCAAGUCCUCAUGGCCCUUAUGGGUAGGGCUUCACACGUCACGGUACAAUGGUCGGGACAGAGGGUCGCCAACCCGCGAGGGGGAGCCAAUCCCAGAAACCCGAUCGUGGUCCGGAUCGCAGUCUGCAACUCGACUGCGGGAAGUCGGAAUCGCUAGUAAUCGUGAUCAGCAUGUCGCGUGAAUACGUUCCCCGGGUCUUGUACACACCGCCCGUCACACCAUGGGAGUGGGUUUUACCAGGCGGUUGGCCUAACCGUAAGGAGGGCGAUUACCACGGUAGGAUUCAUGACUGGGGUGAAGUCGUAACAAGGUAG
rnacentral:rRNA from 1 species